GUUGUAUCUUGUUUGCUUCAUCUUUCUUUGUAGCCACAGUGUUUUAUACAUGCUGUGAGUAUUUUAAAUCAGAAUACCAACGAAUAAGUUAAAGGGAAAAAAACCAGUUUAGGAAUAAAGACAAUCAGCCUGACUAGCUUUUUCCUCUAUUCACUUCUCUAGCGUGGACUUCAGAGUCAUGUCUGUUGGCACCAGGGACCACUUCUAUCUUCAACAUGCCUGUUUCAGCUCCGGCUGGUCAGCUGCGCAUUCUCCCCGGAUGUCCUCAAAUGCUACAUUUCCAUGAGCUGCUUGAGCUGAGGGUGGAGAGGAGAAGGCUACUCUUUCAACCCUUCACUGUGAGCAGAAUAAUCAGAAUACUCAGCCUGAUGUAGAAUGCAAGCCCUUCAUAAAGGUAACAGAGUUUAAAAAAAAAAAAAAAGUAGAGGUUGAGCUAAUGAGCAACGAAAUGACUGAAGUUACCUGGCAGUAUUCUUUGUUUCCUAGUAGAAAUCCCGCACAGAACGUGCCUUUGAGGAAUUUCUCUUUCAGCAAUUUGGCGCAGUUUGCAUCAGAAUGCCUUACAGUUUUAACAGUAUGCUGGAUUAACUCUGAAUUUCCUAUGCACAAGAAAUUAAAAAAAAAAAUUACAUUUCUGUUGGCUUUUUCACAAAACAUCCCGCCUCCACUUCCUCCCUCAAGGUUUCUUUUCAGACUGGGUAUCAGAGGGAGAAGCACUGGCCCAUGCCACAGAUGAGUUUAUCUCCAACUGAAGCAUAAAGGAGUAGGAAUUAAGCAACUACUAACUUCAUGUGUGUCCAAAGUAGGCAAUUGAAAUUCCAGGUUGUAGAAGAAGGAGAGAUAAACUGACAA